GUCCACGCCCUAAACUAUGAUCACUCGAUGUCGGAGGAUUCGACCCCUUCGGUGUCUAAGUUAACACGAUAAGUGAUCCGCCUGGGUAGUACGAUCGCAAGAUUAAAACUCAAAGGAAUAGACGGGGACCCGCACAAGCGGUGGAGCAUCUGGUUUAAUUCGACAGUAAACGAAGAACCUCACCAAGACUUGACAUCCCCGAGAAGAUCGUCGAAAGAUGAUUGUGCCGCAAGGAACUCGGUGACAGGUGCUGCAUGGUUGUCGU
rnacentral:rRNA from 1 species